rnacentral:sRNA from 1 species
GGACACUGAGAACAAAGAUGGUCAGGACUCUUCACGCCGAGACAUCCUAGCCUUAGAAGAAGGGCCGAUCGUACGAAGACAAGCAGUUGAUAGUGAAAGAAAAACGCAGCUUACGGACCCUCCAACCACAGUUACUACAACAUUUACAAUUCCUCCUUCAACCACAAUAACCACGACGUCAACCACCACGACAACGACGACAACCACAGCGACCACUACCACACCGGAACCCAUCAGAUACCAGAUUAAAAGAGAACUGUCCCUGACGGACUCGACGUCAUUAAACGUUUUGGAACCACCGUCGGAAUCCCUAGGGCUCGAUUUUACCGGCACCAAGACUUUAGAUGGAAACAUUAUUGUCAGCUGUGAGCUCAGUGCUUCAGCCUCGUUGGGGAAUCCACCUGUCAACCUGUCCAUUUGG